UACGAAGGGGGCUAGCGUUGUUCGGAAUUACUGGGCGUAAAGCGUGCGCAGGCGGCUUCCCAAGUCAGGGGUGAAAGCCCAGAGCUUAACUCUGGAAUUGCCUUUGAGACUGAGAGGCUUGAGUACGGGAGAGGUGAGUGGAAUUCCCAGUGUAGAGGUGAAAUUCGUAGAUAUUGGGAAGAACACCGGUGGCGAAGGCGGCUCACUGGCCCGUAACUGACGCUCAUGCACGACAGCGUGGGGAUCAAACAGG
rnacentral:rRNA from 1 species